rnacentral:lncRNA from 1 species
AACCCUAGCCCCCUCUCUCCUCUCUCAGUUUUUCCCCUCUACCGCCGCCACGUCUCACCACGACGGUGACAUCCCUUGCCACCGCCAACCGGCCGCGGGCCACCUUCAACCACCACCAAAGCAACACCAUUUCUUCAUCUCAUUCUCCUCUACUCCAAGCCCCAAAUCCCUCCAUUCUUACCCCAUCUUCACGAUUUUGAUAAGGUUAGAAACCCUAGCCUCUUUUUCUUUAUGAAAUUUGCCAAGAUUCGAUUGCCUUUACCCCCAUAAUACCUACGUGAGCGUGUAUAUCUCUAUUUGAUCUGUCAAUUGGUACUGUUUUGAACCUAGGCCCUCGCUUCUUUGUCUGUGAUUUUUAUUUUGUUUUUUAAUUGAUUCUAGGUUUUAGUUGAGAAUGAGUUUUGUUUUGAUAUAAUUCAUGAUUCGGUCUAAUAUCUGAUUUUGCCGUUGUUUCAGUUAAUCGGUUUUGAUUAUUUUAUCACUGUUAAUACAUCGUUUGCCUAAUCGUUGAAUUUUAUUUUGUCUCUGAUUAAUUGUAUUAGCAUUAGUUUAAUUUUUGGAGUUUGGAAUGCUAAAUUUUCUAUUUUUGUACUUGUUAAAGUAGUAUGAUGGUUUGGUAUUAAUAAUAGCUGAGCUAUUAAAAGAAUACUUGAGAGUAAUUUUUGGGAUUUUGGAGUUCAGUUUCUGGGUUGUCUUGAGCCUCAUUUUUGCUGUUGGAGUCUUCUUUGCUGAAUGGUUGUUGGUAACUGCCAUUCUUUUGCUGUUGUUUGGUAUUUUCUGCAACUAGGUAAUGUUCUUAACCUUCUAAAGUGAUUUCUUUCAUAAUAGACAAUGAAGAUAUUGUACUCAGAGUAGUUUUGAUCUUACACCGUUGUAAGAAAUGGGUUACUACUUGUCUAGUGUUUCGAUUUUUUUGAUUGCAUUACCUUUUGCUAGUUAUGUAGUAUUUGUUUUGGUUGUCAUAUCGGUUUGCUUGUUAUUGCCCCUCCCCUUUCCCCUUCCUAAGCCGGUCUUCCGGAAAGAGCCUUUCUACCUUUUAAAGGUAGGUUAAGGUCACCCUCUAUUUUCCCCAGGCCCCACUUGUGAGAAUACACCGGCUAUGUUGUUGUUUCUUACCAUUAUUAGUAAUGGAAAAAUGUUGUGCUCUUUCUUGGAGUCUUUUUUUUACAUUUAGUAGUAUUGAGCUGUAGUUUGUAAUUACUCAAUUCUUGUUCUUCUCCAAAGGACAAUUACACUUUAUAAGUUCCUUUUUAGUUAUUCAAUGCUAAACAAGCUUCUUGAGGUCCUUUCUUUUUCGAGAAAUUUUAUUUUGAGUGAGACUCAACCAACAAAACUUGUACGAGACACCUCCACCUAUUUCACAAGUGAAAAUAUGGGUCCCACAUGUCUCCAUACCCUUUCUCAAUUCCCCCUCUCAUAUUUUUACCAAUUUUACGGGAUGACAAAUGAAAAAGCAGUCAACUUUUCUCCUCUAUCUUCUACUCAUUUUCUAAAAGGAACAGAAUAGGUGAAUUUUUAGGGGCUUUUGUUCGUGUAUGCUUGUCCAAAUUCAAGGAGAAAUUUUAUUGAGCGAGUCUAAUUAAUGCUUCAUGAAAAAUGCUUUCUUUUAGUUUUGUAGGCUUUUCCUUUCAGUAGUUUAGUGAUUUUAUUUUGUUUAUCCAUAUUCUUGAGAUUUUUGGUCGAUGAUUCCAUGAUGUCAUUUACUAUUUGGAUUAUGUGCUGUUUUUUUUGUAAUUGUUGUUUUAUAAGUAUUUGGGUGUUGAUUUAUAUUUUUACGAGCAUGAAAUGGAAGUUAAAUGAUGAAAAUGAUGAUUAGCAAAUGUUAGUCUUGCAAAUAUAAUGGUCCAUCAGGUAUAAAUAAUUUGGGCCGAGAGAUUGGGGAAAUAGUAAGUUUAUUUUUGGAUUAAGUUCAAUAUUAAUUAUUAAGUUACUUUCAGAAUAUUUUGUAUUUGGACAUGAUUUUACUAUUGCUAUUUUUUGUCGGUGGUAUUAAUAUCUCUAUUGUAUUUUCUUGAUAAUGAUUUCAUUACUUUAAUACUUUAUUUAG